AUCAAUAGCAGUGUCAGGAGAACGGUCUGGAAAGUCCGGCAGUAAAGGGUGAUAGCCCCGUAUCUGAAGAUGCUGUUAUUGUGAACUCGACGAGUAGGGCGGGACACGUGUUAUCCUGUCUGAAUAUGGGGGGACCAUCCUCCAAGGCUAAAUACUCCUGAUUGACCGAUAGUGAACCAGUACCGUGAGGGAAAGGCGAAAAGAACCCCGGCGAGGGGAGUGAAAAAGAACCUGAAACCGUGUACGUACAAGCAGUAGGAGCCUCUUUAUGGGGUGACUGCGUACCUUUUGUAUAAUGGGUCAGCGACUUAUAUUCUGUAGCGAGGUUAACCGUAUAGGGGAGCCGUAGGGAAACCGAGUCUUAACUGGGCGAAUGAGUUGCAGGGUAUAGACCCGAAAC
rnacentral:rRNA from 1 species